UACGAAGGGGGCUAGCGUUGCUCGGAAUGACUGGGCGUAAAGGGCGCGUAGGCGGAUGGCACAGUCAGAUGUGAAAUUCCCGGGCUUAACCUGGGGGCUGCAUUUGAUACGUGUGAUCUGGAGUGAGGAAGAGGGUCGUGGAAUUCCCAGUGUAGAGGUGAAAUUCGUAGAUAUUGGGAAGAACACCGGUGGCGAAGGCGGCGACCUGGUCCUUGACUGACGCUGAGGCGCCGAAAGCGUGGGGAGC
rnacentral:rRNA from 1 species